GAUGAACGCUGGCGGUAUGCUUUACACAUGUAAGUCGUACGAGAGUUUUUAACUCUAGUGGCGGACGGGUGAGUAACACGUAAGAAUUUGCCUUUAGGAGGGGGAUAACAACUGGAAACGGUUGCUAAUACCCCAUAUGCUUUCGAGUGAAACGGAUUUCCGCCUAAAGAGAAGCUUGCGGCUGAUUAGCUUGUUGGUGAGGUAAUGGCUUACCAAGGCGACGAUCAGUAUCUGGUUUGAGAGGACGAUCAGACACACUGGAACUGAGACACGGUCCAGACUCCUACGGGAGGCAGCAGUGGGGAAUUUUCCGCAAUGGGCGAAAGCCUGACGGAGCAAUACCGCGUGAGGGAAGACGGCCUAUGGGUUGUAAACCUCUUUUUUCAGAGAGGAAUCAAUGACGUGUACCUGAAGAAUAAGCAUCGGCUAACUCCGUGCCAGCAGCCGCGGUAAGACGGAGGAUGCAAGUGUUAUCCGGAAUCACUGGGCGUAAAGCGUCUGUAGGUGGUUUAAUAAGUCAACUGUUAAAUCUUGAGGCUCAACCUCAAAAUCGCAGUCGAAACUAUUAGACUAGAGUAUAGUAGGGGUAAAGGGAAUUUCCAGUGGAGCGGUGAAAUGCGUAGAGAUUGGAAAGAACACCAAUGGCGAAGGCACUUUACUGGGCUAUAACUGACACUCAGAGACGAAAGCUAGGGUAGCAAAUGGGAUUAGAUACCCCAGUAGUCCUAGCUGUAAACAAUGGAUACUAGAUGUUGAACAGAUCGACCUGCGCAGUAUUAAAGCUAACGCGUUAAGUAUCC
rnacentral:rRNA from 1 species